CUGCCAUUCUCCAUAGCAGGAAGGAGGGUGAACGCUUACUUGGCCCUGUGUUUGGUAAAGGAGGGUUGGACUGAACAAGUUUGAGAUGCUGUUAGGGGUUGAAAUCAAGAGUGUUGCAAGUGUGCUACCUGGAGAUCACUUUCUUAAGGGUAAAUACUUACUGUUUGGCUCUGGAAUGAAUAUAAGAAAGUGGGUAGGACCACCUUCAUUUACUGAGUGCUUACAACAUGCACAGAGUUGGGCUAAGUGCACGGAGCUCACUGUGUCCAAUCCUUACAGUAUUCCCAUGGGUCAGUAUUAUGAUUGCUUACCAUCUAAACAAAUGGAGGCUUCGAGGGGUCAGAUAACUUGCUUACUUAGGAGAGGUGAGGUUGUGCAGCCAGCUAGUGGCACAGCCAGCAUUUGAACCCAUCUGUCUGAGCCUAGCAUCUUAGUUUGCAACCCCAGGCAAUGCAACAUUUAUUCCACAUAGAUGAUGAAGGGGAGUCAAAGGAAGGCACCAGAAGGAAGCAUUUCUCACUUCCAUAGAAGAAAAAUAACAAGAUGCUAUUUUUCCAGCAUUAAUUCAGUGAACAUUUAUGAAAUGCCUGUGAUAUGUGGGGGCUCUUCGAAGGAAAUCAGCUCUGAGACGGAUGAUGUGUGAGAGAACCAGACCAUAAACAAAAAGAUCCUUCAUCUCUUUGGGACUGAAGUGCUGAGACAGUCAUUCAAAGUUCUUUUUUUUUUUUUUAAAGAUUUUUUUUUAAUUUUUUAUUUAUUUAUGAUAGUUACGGAGAGAGAGAGAGAGAGGCAGAGACAUAGGCAGAGGGAGAAGCAGGCUCCAUGCACCAGGAGCCUGAUGUGGGAUUCGAUCCCAGGUCUCCAGGAUCGCGCCCUGGGCCAAAGGCAGGCGCCAAACCGCUGCACCACCCAGGGAUCCCAGUCAUUCAAAGUUCUAAGCAGUUUUUCAGACCUUCCUGAAGAUGACCUGGAGAUUCUCCAAAAUUCAGUUUGGUGUCUGCUGUUGAUGAAGCUGCCAGAAGAGCCCACCAAGAUGUUUCUCCUGGGAAUCCCCGGCUCUCACGGCGUGUGGUGGUAUCGCCAGGCCAUCCCUCUCCUCAAAGGACAUUGGGAACUGGAAUUUUUCAGCUGGACAUAUAAUCCAGGGUCUGUGACUAAGGAAGAAGUUGGCAGGCAUUCUCUACCACACUGACUGACCUUGCGUCUACAAGGAAAAAAAAUAUGCCUUGACCUUGAGGAGUGACCCCAGUUACUGGUGCCUUCAGGAGCUACAGUGGAUAUGAUGGAUGAUAUUUGGCACAAAGAUUCCAGUGAUGGAAUUCAGAUUAUUUGUCAUUACUUUUGGUUACUUUCUGCUCUGCUGAACCAAAUCAUAGUUUUUGGGAUAAUUUGAAUACUUCUCAAUUUGAAAAAAACCGAAAUAAAGUUUGGGUAAGUCUAAGUCUUUUGCUUUUG
rnacentral:lncRNA from 12 species